UUAUCUUAAUUAGGCUACUGUCCGUGGCAAUAUCUCAUUGUGUUCUUCGGUUUGAUGUCUUUGAAGUAAACAUGCAAUGGGAACUUUAAGGAAAAAGACAAAUAACAGUUAUAAUAUAAAUAUACGUUGUGUAUCUGUGUGGUGGCCCUCAGUUCACUGACAUCAGCCAGUGGAGUACUAGAGUCUCUGUAACUGAAGAAACGCUGUGUCAUUGUCUUGCAGUGUCAGUGCACACACAUCAUUACACUGACCACAUGGGAACAGAUGACUUCAAGACUAAGUAAAGAAGAAAUUAAAGUGGAACUAUGCUGUGACUGCUAUUCUCUGUUCUGUGCAAUGCCGCUGAGUGGAUAGCUUCUUGCUGUGGCUCCUCGAAGGACAGGGUAACAGCAGGAUGACAAAACCAGUGUAAAGGGCAGAAAGUGUGGACAGUCUCUAUGGAUGAAACAACAUCCAGUCAAAAUCCUCCCUAAUUCCUCUGGACAGAAGAGAUGCCCAAAUUUCCCCUCCACCUUAUUUAUCUCUGAAGUGUAUUUACUUGCAGCACAUUGAUCUGUGUUGCUCUGUACUUGUUAUAAUGAUGACUUGUCCGAAAACUCCUUGUUGGGAAGUUGGAUGAUGUUUGACAGCAGACAAGUGCUGCAGUCGCUCA